rnacentral:rRNA from 1 species
AUUGAACGCUGGCGGCAUGCCUUACACAUGCAAGUCGAACGGCAGCACGGGAGCAAUCCUGGUGGCGAGUGGCGAACGGGUGAGUAAUGUAUCGGAACGUGCCCAGUCGUGGGGGAUAACGUAGCGAAAGCUACGCUAAUACCGCAUACGAUCUGUGGAUGAAAGCGGGGGACCGUAAGGCCUCGCGCGAUUGGAGCGGCCGAUAUCAGAUUAGGUAGUUGGUGGGGUAAAGGCCUACCAAGCCGACGAUCUGUAGCUGGUCUGAGAGGACGACCAGCCACACUGGGACUGAGACACGGCCCAGACUCCUACGGGAGGCAGCAGUGGGGAAUGUUGGACAAUGGGCGCAAGCCUGAUCCAGCAAUGCCGCGUGCAGGAUGAAGGCCUUCGGGUUGUAAACUGCUUUUGUACGGAGCGAAAAGGCUCUCUCUAAUACAGGGGGCUCAUGACGGUACCGUAAGAAUAAGCACCGGCUAACUACGUGCCAGCAGCCGCGGUAA